AAUGUUUGACGCCGUUGACUUUUUUAAACAUGUUUGACCGUUCGUCUUAUUCAAAAAAUUUAAGUAAUUAUUAAUUAUUUUUCUAUCAUUUGAUUAAUUGUUAAAUAUACUUUAUGUAUACAUAUAGUUUUACAUAUUUCACAAAAAAUUUUAAAUAAGACGAAUGGUCAAAUAUGUUUAAAAAAGUCAACGGCGUUAAAUAUU
rfam:Oryza glumipatula chromosome 6, whole genome shotgun sequence.